UGUGUGUGUGUUAUAUAUAUAUAUAUAUAUAGACACACACACACACAGAUAUAUAUAUGGACAUUAGAAGUGUCUAGAGUGUUCUCCAUUCAGAGCCCAUGGUAUUAGAGUCUGAGGAGGGAGAAGUAGUAUAGUACCACAAUUUUUAUUGUUUUUAGUUAGUUAGAUCCAUUUUCUUUCCAUCGAUUGAUAAUAAAGCCCGGGGAGAGAGAAGUAGUCUAGAAAGAUCGAGGUUUGAGGAGCAGUAGGGACCUUAAUAUAGAUACUUAGGCUUGGUCUGAGGAGCAGUAUCAGAAAACCUAAGCUGUGUCGAAAGGAGGGACAAGUUAGGUAUUUUGAUAAUAACAAGGACUGAUGAGCAAUAGGGGUAUCAAUCAAGAUUAUCUCGGCUUGAUCCGAAGAACAUAGGGAUUUUACGAUCGCUAAGAUCUGAACAGAUACUCGGGUAUAGGAUUGCUUCAAGGCAUGCCAUUAUCGACGAAGGCUAGGGAGAGCCGCUAUAGACGUAAGCAGUAAAGACUGCAGAGAAAACUAUUUUUGGCACCUAAGUUGGGUAACCGUUUUAGAUUCUCGUUUCAGAUCCUCUUGUGUUAAGUCUCCUAAGAUGGU
rnacentral:lncRNA from 1 species